GGCGAGUGAAGCGGCAACAGCUCAAAUUUGAAAGCUGGCCUUCGGGUCCGCAUUGUAAUUUGUAGAGGAUGCUUUGGGGCAGCCGCCUGUCUAAGUUCCUUGGAACAGGACGUCAUAGAGGGUGAGAAUCCCGUAUGUGACAGGACAUGGCACCCUAUGUAAAGCUCCUUCGACGAGUCGAGUUGUUUGGGAAUGCAGCUCUAAAUGGGAGGUAAAUUUCUUCUAAAGCUAAAUACCGGCGAGAGACCGAUAGCGCACAAGUAGAGUGAUCGAAAGAUGAAAAGCACUUUGGAAAGAGAGUUAAAAAGCACGUGAAAUUGUUGAAAGGGAAGCGCUUGCAAUCAGACUUGUUUUGACUGUUCGGCCGGUCUUCUGACCGGUUUACUCAGUCUGGACAGGCCAGCAUCAGUUUUGGCGGCCGGAUAAAGGCCUAGGGAAUGUGGCUCUCGCUUCGGCGGGAGUGUUAUAGCCCUGGGUGUAAUACGGCCAGCCGGGACUGAGGUCCGCG
rnacentral:rRNA from 1 species